rnacentral:misc_RNA from 1 species
UUCAGUUGCGUAAUGGUAAUGGCCGUUAUUUACCAUUACGUAACAGUAAUGGUCGUUAUUUUAAUUAUUCCUCUGCUGCAAUCACAUGGAAACAGUGUUAUUUUAGUUCUCUUUUCUUUGUCUGCGUAUUCUCUUUUCCACAACUAUUUUAUCUCUCAUAUUCUCUUAAAAUUUCACCCAAAUUUUUCCUUUCUUCUACAAAAUCUCUCCUUUAUUGUUUGCUAAGCUAAGAUCAUCAUUAAAUAUCUCUAUUCUAGCUAUAAAUUGUUUAAUGCUAAUGAUGUCUAAACAUGAUAAAUUUAAGGUCUUUAUUGGAUGUAUUUGUG